AAUGAACGCUGGCGGCAGGCCUAACACAUGCAAGUCGAACGAGGUAGCAAUACCUAGUGGCGGACGGGUGAGUAACGCGUGGGAACGUGCCCCUUGGUACGGAAUAGCUCUGGGAAACUGGGAGUAAUACCGUAUGUGGUCGAGAGACGAAAGAUUUAUCGCCAAGGGAUCGGCCCGCGUUGGAUUAGGUAGUUGGUGGGGUAAUGGCCAACCAAGCCGAGGAUCCAUAGCUGGUUUGUUAGGAUGAUCAGCCACACUGGGACUCAGACACGGCCCAGACUGCUACGGGGGGCAGCAGUGGGGAAUCUUAGACAAUGGGGGAAACCCUGAUCUAGCCAUGCCGCGUGAUCGAUGAAGGCCUUAGGGUUGUAAAGAUCUUUCAGUGGGGAAGAUAAUGACGGUACCCACAGAAGAAGCCCCGGCUAACUCCGUGCCAGCCGCCGCAGUAA
rnacentral:rRNA from 1 species